GCACAGAAGGGAGACCAAGCUCUGAACAGGAAUUUUAACCACCAGAAGAGUUCAACACUGUAUUACUAAGGUUGGUUUUUAUUUUCCCCCCAGUCAGCAGUAUCAUCAUGCAAAUUUUCAUAACUGUCAUUUCAAUUUUCCUUUUCUCCUGUUUUGUGUUUCAUGAGCUUUGAUGCUGGUAUUGCCAAUGUUGAUGGCGUUAAGGAUACAAAUGGGACUACACAACUAUGUGACUCUAAAAUAAGUGAAACUGCUCAAGAUGUAGGAUUACAUGACCAAAACUGUUUAGCAUCAAAAUAGAUUGCUGGAAAAAGUGGCUCAUUUACUCCUAAUGGUUUCCCUCCUUCAGGAUCUUGGUAAAUGCUUGUUGAUACCCAUUACUUGCCCAUUUUCAAUGUCAAAUUGUGUAAAUUAAAUUUUAAUAAACUGUUAUCCUCUUCUUCAGUUUGUCCACUGGACAGGAUAGAGAACAAAAUGACCAGCCGUCUGAUGCGAAUCAGAAUCCAAUUGGUUCAGGCCAUGACAAAGUUACUCCUAGUGUUCCCAGGGGGAGACCUGUGCAUUUUUGAGUUAAGCUUCGAUUGAAGUACCAAUUACAUGUGAAAUCAACAGCACUAACACUGGCUCUGAAAACAGUUCAAAGCGCGGUGUAGCACGCAAGACAAGUGAUGCCACGGAGAAGCAACCGGCAAGGAAACUAACCAGAAUUUUCAUGGUGGUUUUUGUUAGAAUUUUUUGAAUGAUUGAGAAGUAUUAACUAUUGUUCAUAGUUAAUUUUCCAAUCAUCUAGGUAUUAGAUUUUAUGGAUGUAAAGGAUGUUGGGUGCUUAUUUAUU